rnacentral:rRNA from 3 species
ACGCUGGCGGCAGGCCUAACACAUGCAAGUCGAGCGGUAGCACAGAGAGCUUGCUCUCGGGUGACGAGCGGCGGACGGGUGAGUAAUGUCUGGGAAACUGCCUGAUGGAGGGGGAUAACUACUGGAAACGGUAGCUAAUACCGCAUAACGUCGCAAGACCAAAGUGGGGGACCUUCGGGCCUCAUGCCAUCAGAUGUGCCCAGAUGGGAUUAGCUAGUAGGUGGGGUAAUGGCUCACCUAGGCGACGAUCCCUAGCUGGUCUGAGAGGAUGACCAGCCACACUGGAACUGAGACACGGUCCAGACUCCUACGGGAGGCAGCAGUGGGGAAUAUUGCACAAUGGGCGCAAGCCUGAUGCAGCCAUGCCGCGUGUAUGAAGAAGGCCUUCGGGUUGUAAAGUACUUUCAGCGAGGAGGAAGGCGUUAAGGUUAAUAACCUUGGCGAUUGACGUUACUCGCAGAAGAAGCACCGGCUAACUCCGUGCCAGCAGCCGCGGUAAUACGGAGGGUGCAAGCGUUAAUCGGAAUUACUGGGCGUAAAGCGCACGCAGGCGGUCUGUCAAGUCGGAUGUGAAAUCCCCGGGCUCAACCUGGGAACUGCAUUCGAAACUGGCAGGCUAGAGUCUUGUAGAGGGGGGUAGAAUUCCAGGUGUAGCGGUGAAAUGCGUAGAGAUCUGGAGGAAUACCGGUGGCGAAGGCGGCCCCCUGGACAAAGACUGACGCUCAGGUGCGAAAGCGUGGGGAGCAAACAGGAUUAGAUACCCUGGUAGUCCACGCCGUAAACGAUGUCGACUUGGAGGUUGUGCCCUUGAGGCGUGGCUUCCGGAGCUAACGCGUUAAGUCGACCGCCUGGGGAGUACGGCCGCAAGGUUAAAACUCAAAUGAAUUGACGGGGGCCCGCACAAGCGGUGGAGCAUGUGGUUUAAUUCGAUGCAACGCGAAGAACCUUACCUACUCUUGACAUCCAGAGAACUUAGCAGAGAUGCUUUGGUGCCUUCGGGAACUCUGAGACAGGUGCUGCAUGGCUGUCGUCAGCUCGUGUUGUGAAAUGUUGGGUUAAGUCCCGCAACGAGCGCAACCCUUAUCCUUUGUUGCCAGCGGUCCGGCCGGGAACUCAAAGGAGACUGCCAGUGAUAAACUGGAGGAAGGUGGGGAUGACGUCAAGUCAUCAUGGCCCUUACGAGUAGGGCUACACACGUGCUACAAUGGCAUAUACAAAGAGAAGCGACCUCGCGAGAGCAAGCGGACCUCAUAAAGUAUGUCGUAGUCCGGAUUGGAGUCUGCAACUCGACUCCAUGAAGUCGGAAUCGCUAGUAAUCGUAGAUCAGAAUGCUACGGUGAAUACGUUCCCGGGCCUUGUACACACCGCCCGUCACACCAUGGGAGUGGGUUGCAAAAGAAGUAGGUAGCUUAACCUUCGGGAGGNCGCUUUACCACUU